UGACGUUCAGCCCUUGCCUUAUAAGAAUGCCACGUGACUAUCUACAUCCUCUUUUUUGACAACGUUCUCUUUUAAUCUCCCUAUCUCUGGAUUCUUUAGCUCUAGCUCUCCUCUUCAGAUCUGCCAUGACCUUUCUCUUCUUCGAUCAUUGAUCAUCCUCAUUAAAGGAAUUAGGAUUCAGGCGGCUCCAUUGCGGUUAGUCGGCUCCAUUGCGGUUAGUCGGCUUAUUCGAUUCGUUUGGUACCAGGAGCUUCAGAGGCUUCCAUCAGAAAUUUGCCUCCUACUGCUAUGGAUCCAUCCAAUAAUUUCGUUGUAUACUUUUGCAUCUAAAAACAAAGGAAGAUGAUUUCAAGCUAUUGUGGAGCAGGUUCGUGAUGGUAGAAUAGUGCGAGUCUACUUGCUCCCUGAGUUUCAGUAUGUUCAGGUUUUUGUGGUUGGAAUCCAGGCGUAAAGAUGCUCAGGAAUUUUUGGCAUGAUGAAUUACUCGAGCUUGGAGGACAAGUUUUUGGCAUGGAUGCAGGAAAGUUGUCAUAUGUGGGUAUGAAUGGGAAAUUAUUGGUCCUAAAAAUAAAUCCGGAAUGACAAGAACACAAAGCUUUUUCCAUCAGAAUUGUAUUGGAUGACAAUUGAACAGUGUUGUGAAGGAAAGGGUAAGCUAUAACUUGGGUGAUUGGGUCACAUUCAUGUAAAUUCUUAGAUUUUCUACUUAAGUUCUUUGUUAAACUGCCGAUAGUUGGUGCAUUUUCCCUUGACUGUGACACCUUCUUUUGUUUGUCUAGAAUUUUGUUAAAAGUAGUUUAUGGGUGGUGGUUUGAAGGUUACUAUCCAAAAGAAAAAUUACGAUUGUUGUGUACUUAUAAUUCUUGUCUACGUAAUAAUAAUACUCCGUCAGGUUCUUGCUUCUUUCAAGUAGUUCAUCUGA